UACGAAGGGGGCUAGCGUUGUUCGGAAUCACUGGGCGUAAAGGGCGCGUAGGCGGCUUUAUAAGUCGGGGGUGAAAGCCUGUGGCUCAACCACAGAAUUGCCUUCGAUACUGUAGAGCCUGAGACCGGAAGAGGUAAGUGGAACUGCGAGUGUAGAGGUGAAAUUCGUAGAUAUUCGCAAGAACACCAGUGGCGAAGGCGGCUUACUGGUCCGGUUCUGACGCUGAGGCGCGAAAGCGUGGGGAGCAAACAGG
rnacentral:rRNA from 1 species